GCCUCGGACUUUGGGACUCGUGCCUUUGUGUCAUCACUUGGUCUGGAGCCACAGGGUAAGCCGUAAACCGCUGAUGGCGACCCUGAAAGAGGAAUAAACACCGUAAACAGCCAUCCUCCGCGCCUAGGAGCUGUCAUAUCACCCUCCUUGUUAGUACGGUGAGACAGGGCCCGGGCAGCUGCCUCCCAGGCUUGACUUUGGGUCUCAAGUAUAGAAGCUGGCUCCAAAAAUUCCUUUGCUUCUUAAAGAUUAAACACCACAGAGAAAACAACAAGGAGUUAGAAAAAGAAUUGUGCGUGUUCUUCACUCGGACUGUGCACAUUGGAUGAGAAGGAGCAAGUGAUCCAUUCAUUCAAUAAGUUCUUCACCAUGCUACUUACUGAAGACCUACUAUGCACCAAGCCCUGUGGUAGCACUGGAUUCAGCGGUAAAUAAAGCACAGUCAGUAGGAGUGCACCUGCAUCAACGGAGUCACUUCUGGAUUCCACACUGAAGUUCACAUAAGAAAAACAUUCUGAAAAUACUUCUUCAUCUUUAUCUCUGCACAAUAGCUCAGUUUUGAGUCCCUUUUUAUGUGUGACAGUCUAUAGUGGAGCUCUUCUGUGGAAUUUCACAUUGAUCCCAACAUUACAACUUAUCUGACACUUUACACUUUUAUCUUCUUGAAGGAAGAAUACACUGUCACCAAAUAAACUUGUUAAUAAAGUGA